GAGGGGAGCGGGGCCGACACAGGGUUCCUGACCAAGCUGGUGCUUCUGCGUGUGUUCCUGCAUGACUUGGUGUGUCCCCUUCUCUUGGAUCUACUGCAGUUGACAGCAGAUAACUGAAAGCUCGGAAAGCGAAACCGUGGAUAAGCAGGGGAACUGUGGCAUCCCAUUUAAAAUUGCUUCUGAAGAGAAGCAUGAGGUUACAUCUGUAAUCUCCCUGCAGCAGAGUCAACUGCAUAAGAAACCAAAAGACACACCUGCUCCAUGCCAGGUUAGUACCCACCCAUCACCCUCAUAAUUUUGCCAAAACUUUAGAUAUGUUUGUGAGUAUUAGCCAAGUAUGUGUAUUAAAAAUCUGUCUUCCCAGAAGUUGAGUUUGAUGUCUUUUUGACAAUGUUCACGGACUCCCAACGUGUUAGCUUCCAGUAAAAAAGGUGCUAUAAGAAAGACCCUUGGUUUUAUAGAUUGUUUCAUCCGCACUGG
rnacentral:lncRNA from 10 species